GAUGAAGAACGUAGCGAAAUGCGAUAAGUAAUGUGAAUUGCAGAAUUCAGUGAAUCAUCGAAUCUUUGAACGCACAUUGCGCCCUUUGGUAUUCCGAAGGGCAUGCCUGUUCGAGCGUCAUUUCACCACUCAAGCCUGGCUUGGUAUUGGGCGCCGCGGUCGAUCCGCGCGCCUCAAAGUCUCCGGCUGAGCUGUCCGUCUCUAAGCGUUGUGAUUUCAUUAAUCGCUUCGGAGUGCGGGCGGCCGCGGCCGUUAAAUCUUUCACAAGGUUGACCUCGGAUCAGGUAGGGAUACCCGCUGAAUUUAAGCAUAUCAAUAAGCGGAGGA
rnacentral:misc_RNA from 1 species